UGGCAAGCGUUGUCCGGAUUUAUUGGGCGUAAAGCGAGUGCAGGCGGGUCAAUAAGUCCGAUGUGAAAGCCCCCGGCUUAACCGAGGAAAUGCAUCGGAAACUGUUGAACUUGAGUGCAGAAGAGGAGAGUGGAACUCCAUGUGUAGCGGUGGAAUGCGUAGAUAUAUGGAAGAACACCAGUGGCGAAGGCGGCUCUCUGGUCUGCAACUGACGCUGAGGCUCGAAAGCAUGGGUAGCGAACA
rnacentral:rRNA from 1 species